rnacentral:rRNA from 1 species
GACGAACGCUGGCGGCGUGCUUAACACAUGCAAGUCGAACGGAAAGGCCCUGCUUUUGUGGGGUGCUCGAGUGGCGAACGGGUGAGUAACACGUGAGUAACCUGCCCUUGACUUUGGGAUAACUUCAGGAAACUGGGGCUAAUACCGGAUAGGAGCUCCUGCUGCAUGGUGGGGGUUGGAAAGUUUCGGCGGUUGGGGAUGGACUCGCGGCUUAUCAGCUUGUUGGUGGGGUAGUGGCUUACCAAGGCUUUGACGGGUAGCCGGCCUGAGAGGGUGACCGGCCACCUGGGGACUGAGAUACGGCGCAGACUCCUACGGGAGGCAGCAGUGGGGAGUAUUGCACAGUGGGCGGAAGCCUGAUGCAGCAACGCCGCGUGCGGGAUGACGGCCUUCGGGUUGUAAACCGCUGUCGCCUGUGACGAAGCGUGAGUGACGGUAAUGGGUAAAGAAGCACCGGCUAACUACGUG